AGCAGCCGCGGUAAUUCCAGCUCCAAUAGCGUAUAUUAAAGUUGUUGCAGUUAAAAAGCUCGUAGUUGAAUUUUGGGUUUGGCCAAUUGGUCCGUUCUUGUAACGAGUACUGGUUGGUUGGGCCUCACCGCCUGGUGAUACGUAAUGUCCUUUAUUGGGUGUUGCGAGUAGCCAGGACCUUUACCUUGAAAAAAUUAGAGUGUUUAAAGCAGGCUUAUGCCGGAAUACAUUAGCAUGGAAUAAUAGAAUAGGACGAUGAUUCUAUUUUGUUGGUUUCUAGGAGCAUCGUAAUGAUUAAUAGGGAUAGUUGGGGGCAUUAGUAUUCAAUUGUCAGAGGUGAAAUUCUUGGAUUUAUUGAAGACUAACUACUGCGAAAGCAUUUGCCAAGGAUGUUUUCAUUAAUCAAGAACGAAGUUAGGGGAUCGAAGACGAUCAGAUACCGUCGUAGUCUUAACCAUAAACCUAUGCCGACUAGGGAUCGGGCGAUGUUGUUUCAAUUGACUCGCUCGGCACCCUUAUG
rnacentral:misc_RNA from 1 species